CAGGUAUCAAACAAAUGUGAACUACAGAAAAAGAAACAUUGGUUUCAAUUUAAAAAAUAAAGAAAAAGCAAAUUGGUUGGUUCACAUACAAAGGCAGUUGAGGAGUUAACGAGACACAGGUGGGAAGGAUGAUGCAAUCACUGUGGAGGGAAAUACAGGAGGCAGGGACAGGAGAAAGAGUUAGAGGGUAAAGACUGAAACAUAGGAAGUCCAACAUCUGGAGACGAGACCAGAGCCCUGAACAGCCUAAACCAAAAUGAACUGAGGGCCACCGCUGCCGUCAUCAUGUCAUGGUUUCAGAAAAACAAAAACAGAACCACUGGUUAAGAACCCCAACGUGGUCCACGAGGUCCUGGAGGCAUCUCAGAGAAAACAACUUCCCUCCUUCACCACUGAAGCACAGAUCCGGAUACAGUCUAGAAGAAAAACCAGGCACCUUCACCACCAUUAAAAAGUUAGAUCGGACCGAUUUGCAUUCAGCACCAUAGACAGCUCCCACACGGAAAUCACAGAAUCGCAGUGCCACCUUUUGGCCACCACUGGGACCACUUCACGUACAUGAUUGUUGGGGAGUUUCAUCCCACUACAUGUCGGUACUCAUAGAUCCGGAGCAACUGCAAGGAGGUUAGAGCCAGAAUGGGUAUCUCAAGUCUCAUUCUGUUCAUGGCACCCAAAGGCAGGAAACAAUAGCAUCUGCUCUCCUCUGAGACUGGGAAUUUAAUCACCAGCACGACCAA